rnacentral:misc_RNA from 1 species
AUGAUCAAUACCCAUUACUGUAACCAACAUAAUUGGUUCUAGAGCGAAUAUUGUGGUGGUUGUAAAUGGACUCUCCAUAAUCAACAGGCUUAAUCACCACAGCUUCACGCUUCCCAUCCUGCUCAUGAAUUGCCCCGAACACAAUCUCAUUUGUUUUCUCAUUGCUUUGCUCAUAGUAAGUGUGUGGGGUUGUAGAUUGAUAUCGAUGAUGAUGUUGUUUUUGGUGCUGCUGCUGCUGCUGCUGAAAAUCAUCCCACCCACUAUAGAAAGCUCGACCUUGCUUCCAUUGAUGCUUCUUUUCAGCAUCCUUGGACAUGAAUGGAUAGGUUUUCC